rnacentral:rRNA from 1 species
CUAGCCGUAAACGGUGAUCACUAGGUGUUGGAGGCAUCGACCCCUCCAGUGCCGCAGCUAACGCAUUAAGUGAUCCGCCUGGGGANGCAACGCGAAGAACCUUACCCAGACUUGACAUGCAUUCGACUGGUGUGGAAACACACCUUUCCUUCGGGACGGAUGCACAGGUGC